GGGCUUGUAGCUCAGUUGGUUAGAGCGUGCGGCUUACAUCCGCAAGGUCUCAGGUUCAAGUCCUGACAAGCCCACCA
rnacentral:tRNA from 1 species